UGGGAUAUCGUCUAACGGUAGGACAGCGGACUCUGACUCCGCCGGUGAGGGUUCGAAUCCUUCUAUCCCAGCCA
rnacentral:tRNA from 1 species